rnacentral:rRNA from 1 species
CGCUCAGAUUGAACGCUGGCGGCAGGCUUAACACAUGCAAGUCGAACGAAGUGUUGGUGCUUGCACUAACACUUAGUGGCGAACGGGUGAGUAAUACUUGGGAAUCUGCCUUGUAGCGGGGGAUAACGUUUCGAAAGGAACGCUAAUACCGCAUACGUCCUACGGGAGAAAGGAGGGGAUCUUCGGACCUUCCACUAUAAGAUGAGCCCAAGCGAGAUUAGCUAGUUGGUAAGGUAAAGGCUUACCAAGGCGACGAUCUCUACGUGGUCUGAGAGGAUGAUCAGCCACACUGGGACUGAGACACGGCCCAGACUCCUACGGGAGGCAGCAGUGGGGAAUAUUGGACAAUGGGCGAAAGCCUGAUCCAGCCAUGCCGCGUGUGUGAAGAAGGCCUUCGGGUUGUAAAGCACUUUAAGCGAGGAGGAAUGGCUCUGGGUUAAUACCCUUGAGCAGUGACGUUACUCGCAGAAUAAGCACCG